GACGAACGCUGGCGGCGUGCCUAAUACAUGCAAGUCGAGCGCUGAAGGUUGGUACUUGUACCAACUGGAUGAGCAGCGAACGGGUGAGUAACGCGUGGGGAAUCUGCCUUUGAGCGGGGGACAACAUUUGGAAACGAAUGCUAAUACCGCAUAAAAACUUUAAACACAAGUUUUAAGUUUGAAAGAUGCAAUUGCAUCACUCAAAGAUGAUCCCGCGUUGUAUUAGCUAGUUGGUGAGGUAAAGGCUCACCAAGGCGAUGAUACAUAGCCGACCUGAGAGGGUGACCGCCCACAUUGGAACGGGGACACGGCCCAAACCCCUACGGGAGCCAGCAGUAGGGAAUCUUCGGCAGUGUACGAAGGUCUAACCGAGCAACGCCGCGUGCGUGAGAAGGGUUUUCGGAUCGUAAAACGCUGUUGGUAGGGAAGAACGUUGGUGCGAGUGGAAAGCGCAUCAAGGACGGGAACCUAACAAGAAGGGACGGCUAACUACGUG
rnacentral:rRNA from 1 species